UCCACCUGCAAUGCGGGAGACCUGGGUUCCAUCCCUCCGUUAGGAAGUUCCCCUGGAGGAGGGCAUGGCAACCCACUCCAGUAUUCUUUCCUGGAGAAUCCCAUGGACUGAGGAGCCUGGUGGGCUACAGUCCAUGGGGACACAAAGAGUCGGACUCACUGAGCAACUAAGUUGACACAGACAUGGAAUCAGGAACCAAAGAAAUCGGACUUCACAGGUUGAAACCAACCAUCAAGUUUUGCUUAAGCCAGUCGCACGAGUGGACUUUCUUCAGCUUUAACUGCUCACUGUGGGGGAAGUCAGCCACCACGGGGAAGGACACUCGAAGAUCACAGAGAGGCCCGUGUGGGGAGGAAGACCAGCUCACAGGUUGCGUGACUGAAUCACUGGAAAAGUGGGUCCUCCCAGCUCCAGUCCAGCCUUCAGAUAACUGCAGCUCUGGCUGACUUGUUGACGGCAACCUCAUGAGCAGGUAGAGGCAGAACCACCUACAAGUGCCCACGCCUGAAUUCCAGACCUGCAGAAAUCGUCAGAUAAUAAAUUUGU